rnacentral:rRNA from 1 species
AGCGAACGCUGGCGGCAGGCCUAACACAUGCAAGUCGAGCGAAGCCUUCGGGCUUAGCGGCGGACGGGUGAGUAACGCGUGGGAACGUGCCCUUUGGUACGGAAUAGCCCCGGGAAACUGGGAGUAAUACCGGAUGUGGUCGAGAGACGAAAGAUUUAUCGCCAAAGGAUCGGCCCGCGUUGGAUUAGGUAGUUGGUGGGGUAAUGGCCUACCAAGCCGACGAUCCAUAGCUGGUUUGAGAGGAUGAUCAGCCACACUGGGACUGAGACACGGCCCAGACUCCUACGGGAGGCAGCAGUGGGGAAUCUUAGACAAUGGGGGAAACCCUGAUCUAGCCAUGCCGCGUGAUCGAUGAAGGCCUUAGGGUUGUAAAGAUCUUUCAGUGGGGAAGAUAAUGACUGUACCCACAGAAGAAGCCCCGGCUAACUCCGUGCCAGCCGCCGCAGUAAGAC